rnacentral:lncRNA from 1 species
CUCCGUGUUGGUCAGGCUGGUCUCCAACUCCGGACCUCAGGUGAUCCACCCACCUCGGUCUCCCAAAGUGCUGGGAUUACAGGCGUGAGCCACUGCACCCGGCUACUUUUUUUCUUUUAAAGAGUAAGAAAUCAAAAUGAAAAUAGGGCCCAAUGGUGUGAGAACAGCAACAAAAAGGUAGGAAAGGAGGGAAGAUAGGAAAGGAGGGAAAGAAGGAAGCAAAAGGCAUGGGAAUUGUGGUACAGGAUGUACAGUGUAGAACAGGCGAAAGGAAACUACCGUAUUGGUAAUCCUCCGGAGCAGUUUACAGGUAAAGCAGCCUGGCGGGCUGUUGGCAGUGCCCAGUGCCGGUAGCAGUGGGAGGCUUUCGGGAAGGCCCAGAGCUCCCACAGGCCAGGGUGGUCAGAAGGCUGGGGCCGAGGAGGGCCUGCUGGUGUUGCUGUGACAAGGCACGGGCCCGGAGUCCUGUCCUUCAUCCUGGCAUCCUCUCAAGACAAAGCCCACCAGUGUUGACCCACCUGGACGUGGGGGAUAGAGCACCUAAGGGCCUCUAAACACCCUGUCACCCCUAGAGACUCCUCCCCAGCCCUGCCUCCUUCUUGUCACGUCCCCAGCCUUCCACGUGGCCACGUGCACCUGGCACCUGGGACCAGUGGUCAUUAUCUUUCCCUGGAGCGUGGGGAGAAGCUCAGGUCAGGUGUAGGGCUGGAGAGGAGGCCUGUUUUGCGGCCUCUGCAGUGUGUGCCCCUGCAUGCGUAUGCGCGUGUGUGAGGAUGGGGCACCUGCAAGCCCAGGACUGCCACCUGCAGCCACCCAUCUUACCUGGUGUCUUUGCAAGGGGGAAGGGCUUGCCCGAGUCAAGGUGGAGCAGUGAGGCCCCUGCCUAUUUUCACUGUUUCUGGACUCUUUUGCGGUAGCCUAUGACCACGGGUGUGAUCAUUUCACACUUCUUUCAUUUCUUUCACUUUUUUUUUUUUCGAGAUGGAGUCUCACUCUGUGCCCCAGGGUGGAGUGCAGUGGUGCGAUCUCGGCUCACUGCAACCUUUGCCACCCAGGUUCAAGCGAUUCUCCUGCCUCAGCCUUCCGAGUAGCUGGGAUUACUGCAUGCCCAGCUAAUUUUUGUAUUUUUUUUUUUUUAGACGGAGUCUUGCUCUGUCGCUAGGCUGCAGUGGCGCAAUCUCGGCUCAUUGCAACCUCCACCUCCCAGGUUCAAGUGAUUCCCCUGCCUCAGCCUCCCAAGUAGCUGGGACUACAGGCAUGUGCCACCACACCUGGCUAAUUUUUUGUAUUUUAGUAGAGACAGGGUUUCACCACGUUGGCCAGGAUGGUCUUGAUCUCCUGACCUCAUGAUCCUUCUGCCUUGGUCUCCCAAAGUGCUGGGAUCACAGGUGUGAGCCACCACACCCGGCCUUUGUAUUUUUUUAGUAGAGACAGGGUUGCACCAUGUCGGCCAAGCUGGUCUCUAACUCCUGACCUCAGGGGAUCCACCCGCCUUGGCCUCCCAAAGUGCUAGGAUUAGAGGUGUGAACCCAGCCUCAUUUCUUUCACUUUUUAGCUUAAAUCCCUCCUUUAACCUUGUCAUACAUCACUGCAGCUGUGAAAUCGUAGCCUCGAUGUCACAGCUACUUAUUGAUACACAUUAAAAUAAAUACCUGGCUGUGGAUAUAAAGCCCAUGUGUUCAUAUCUCACCUGAGUCACAUCUGGUGUCCCCAGCACCACUCAGACCACCUGCUGGGCUGUUGUGGCCGUCAGAGUGGAGCAGAGCUGGGUUGGGUUCCAGUUCUGUUGCUCAUCUGCUAUGGGAUUUUUCAGCCAGUCCUCACCCUUCUCUAAGCCUCAGUUUCCACACCUGGGAAGUGGAGGGCCCCUGGCAGGUAAGGUUACAGAGAGGCCAGUUCUCCCACUCCGCCUGCCUUGGAACUACUGUCAGUCACUCUGGAGGUCCCUGCCUCCACCAGAGAAGCCUGCAGAGUUGAAGGGGGUUGAACUAUCCUUGCUGCAGAAGCCUCCUGAAUUCUGCAGGAAGGGAAAUGGCUGAGGGCAGGCUAUUGGGUGCUCCCACAGCAAACUCCACAAAGGUACUGAGUACUUUAGGAUCUGAAGGAAGAGGGAAUAUUUGUUUCCUUCACAGCCACAAAAGGACCUUUCCAAAAAUAGCCACCUCUUAGGUCCAAGCAGAAAUAUCUGAGCCACGCUUGGAGGGUUAGUAUUUUUUUUUUGGCAUUAUGAUGAUUCAACUUUUCAGAAAGAAAAUCAAAUGGAAAGUGCAUGUCAUACCUAGCAAGCCUUGUGAACAAGAUUGGGCAAAUUGCUUCCAAAUUCUUAACAUUCAUAACCUUUGGUCUGGAGAUACCAGUUCUAGAAUUUGUUGUAAGGAAAUAGUCAAGUAUAUGAAGAUAUCUGUAUGUAUGAGAAUGCUCUUCCUAGCCGAAGUAGCAAAAAUGGGAUAAACAUGGAUGUCUAACAGUAGAGGAAUGCUCAAAUAAUUACAAGGCAGCCAUAUGGUGAGAAGCACCAGGCAAUCAUUACCAAAAAGCAGAAGGGCUGCUGCCUGGGGAGGGGGUGGCAGGAGGGAAACACCCCAAUGGGGUACGAGGAACUUUUGGGGGCGAUGGAUGUGUUCACUAUGUUGGUUGUGGUCAUGGUUUCCCAGGUAUAUACAGAUGUCAAAACUUAUCAAACUGUACACUCUAAAUAUGUAUAGUUUACUAUAUAUCAACUAUAUCUCAAUAAAUAUGUUUUUUAAGAAACCAUGCAGUUAUUAAAAACCAUGCUUCAGAAAUAUUUAAUAAAAUAGCAAAUGAUACGGAAAUAACAUCAAGUGAAAGGUGAGGGAAAAU